AACAAGUACAACUAUUAAUUUCCGUAUACAACUUUAAUCGUCCAUCUUAUUUUAAAAUUUUUUAAUAAUUAGUAUUUUUAUUGAUAUUAGAUUAUAAAAUAUGAAUAGUACUUUAUGCGUGACUUAUGUUUUUCAGUUGAGCACGGAAACUCAUGGGUUGCGCUUAUU
rfam:Oryza sativa (indica cultivar-group) chromosome 1, whole genome shotgun sequence.